UGUGGCAUUGUUUCUACAGGC
rnacentral:piRNA from 1 species